rnacentral:misc_RNA from 1 species
GUGAAUCAUCGAAUCUUUGAACGCAAAUUGCACUCCCUUCGGUGAGUAUGACUGUUUGAGGGUCAGCCUCAAAAAAAAUCGAAAUAGUCGCUGUUUCGUGGUGCCAUUCGUUGGACAUUGGGUUAUGUUAAACUUUCGGGUUCUAAGCGGCUUAAAAUUUUCUUUUAGAUUCCUCGAACGUUUCUAAGUUUUACUUCUUAUCCGUUUAAGGUAUCGAUCUCUAUUAGCAGUGGACGUUGCAUCGGAU